UAUAAAGAACUACCUGGUAGUGGGAAGGAUGACAUGUGACUAAUAAUUGUUUUUUUCUUUUUUACUUUAUAAAAGGUUAGAAGGGUGAUUGUAUGUUGGAACAGAAAGCAUAAUUAUAUCAUCUUUAGUCAGACUCUGAUCGUCAUAUUGCAAAUUUUACGUCUCCUAUGUUUGUUUCUGACAGAAAUAUAGGUUGAACUGAUUAAGCAGACGUAGGGAAAUCCAAAAGAAUUGCAUCUUUGGUUGACCAUAUUUUUUUAUAUAUAGUUAGUGAGUGGCUAAGUGCUGUCAUGGUCCCCCACGUUUCCAUCUUGUGGCACCUUUAGGCAUUGCUCUAGGUAUCGAAUAUCAUGAGCAAGAGAGGAAUGAAAAAAAGUUGGGAAAAUAUAAUGAAUCACAAAUAUGUGGUUUCAUUAGGUGGCUCACAUCACAGGUGACAUUAUUGAUCUAAAAUAAUGAGUGUGGCCCUCCAUCAGAUCUUCCUAAUGUGUUUAGGGGCUUCUUUUGGAUAAUAGUUGAGUAUGAACGAUGCUCCACAAUUAUUGCUGCAACAACAACAACACUGUGUUUCGUUUCUUUCCCCUUUCAUAAAUCAUAACCCAACUAGCUCUUCUAUUCAGUGUUAAUAUUAACUAGAUUAAAUAGGAUUAUGAAACCCAAAUGCAUAUAUACCAGAAAGAAUUAUUCAAUCAGUUAUAAUAAUUUAUAGCUAAUUCAUCUGAUGCCCAUUGCAUGUGUUGUUUCCUUUCAAAAAUCUUCACUGAUCCAACCUUAUAAAAUAAUCUUAGGAUUUUCAGGUGAUGAUGUGCUGAGAAGCUGCUGCAAUGGAGUUAACACAUGUUUUGAAAAUUCAGAAAGCUGAGAAAAAUAUUAUUGUUUAUUUUAUUUUUUUUAAAUAAAGUAAACUAAACUGUUUAAAGCUAGAAGUGGGUUUGCUCUGGAAGCAGGUUAUAUCUUUUAUGACUGAAGCAUGACAUAUUGGUGAGAAUAUUUAGUUUGAGUGCAUGCAUUUAUUUUCAACUUGUUUAUUAUGCAAAAAAGGCUUUCAAUUUAGUCUUGAGAAUGUGUAAUCAUAGUUCAUGAAUUGACAACAUUUAUUUAUAUUACUUGAUUUUCUAAGAUAACGGUGGGAAACAUGCAGUUACCUGAGUCCGUUAGUACUAAAAUUGGAUGGGACAUGCCACUUUAGAUAACUUGUUAGUUAUAUGUUUUUAUAAUAACGAUUAAGCAAAUCAAAAUUAAAAUAAAUUGAAGAUGUGUAAUUAUAUAAUUUACUGUCAGUAUUUGCUUAUGUUUUUUGAAAAACAUAUUAUCGUUAAAUUAUUUUUUAGAAUUAAAACAGUACAACUUAUAAUCAUAGAUGAUGAAUGUUCUUACACAAAACUUACACAAAAUUAAAUUCUAAACCCUAAACCUAAACUUAAACAGAGUUGAAUACUUUGUCGGAAUUCUCCAUCAAAAUUUAAAUUAAUUUUGGUUCAUUAAUUAUUUAACUAAUGAAUUAAAUGCAUUGCUACUAAUCUCUAUUGAACUUCAUCUUCACUUCAGAAUAGGUCCAUUGAUUAAUUUUUUUUAUACUCAAAAUUUAUUUUGUGAUUUUUUCUUUAAUUACUAAUUUAUAUUUGAUUAUUAUACUAAGAAAAGGCGUAAAAUUAUUUAUUGCUUUAAGAGGAUUUUCUAGAAGCUUUCGACCUCUCAGCAUACCAGUUCAACUAAAAUUAUAAUUAAUUAACUAUAGUCACAUAAUCAUUUAGAAAAAAUAUCACUCUAAAAAAGUCAUCAAAUAAAAAAUAAUUUUAGAAAUCAAAAUAAUUAAUUACUAUUUUGACUAAAUUAGAAACUAUUUUAUAAAUUAAAAAAAAACUGUUAUUAUAUAAAAUAGUUUUUAUUAUUAAUAAAAAUUUAUAAAAUAAUUUUUAAAUUAGUAUCUAAUCAUUAACUACAAAGGUUUUAAUUGAUUACUACUUUAAAUAUUUUUUAAUCUCUAAAAUUAGUUGUUAUUUAGUAAUUUUCUUGUAAUGUAUACAUCUCACUAUUUUUUUUAACUUCAUUCAUUAAGGUUUAUAUUUAUAAUUUUAAUUUUUCACAAUGAUGAAAGUGUUCUAUGAAAGUGAUUUUAUAUUAGUGUCUUAAAAAUUCAGAUUGGAAUAACGUAACCCUGAAAAUUAGUUUAUAAUAAGAAUUAUUUCUCUCUUAUACACAAUAUUUUAGUUAUAUUAUAAGUAAAUGUGAGAUCCUACCAUAAAAAAUUUGUUAGUAAGUGUUAAACAUUACAAAUACAAGGUUCUAAAACUAUAUUUUUUUUAGUAGUUUGAUAAUAAAUCAAUAUCUCAAAAGCCAGUCAUCCUAUAAUAAAACCAGUCAACCUCAAAUGUUAGUUUACGAGUUAAAUAUAUUUCAUAUUAUUAUAUUUUUUAUUUGUAGUCAAUAAUGUUAAAAAAAUAUUAAGUGAGAACUUGAUCCUUAUUAUUGAGAACUUUUUUAUUAUUAUUAUUACUAUUAUUUUGAGAACUGAUAAUUAUAAAUCUACAUUACAUGAUAUGCCGAUAAAAAAAUACACACAUAUAUAACUUAAUUUUAGUUUUAAUCAUAUUAAUUGUUUAUAUUCAUGUUAUUAUUUCUCACAAUAAUAAAAAUCUAAUUUAAAUGCUUGCUUUCAUUUCAUGGCAUAUAUAUAUCCUGAAAUUGGUUUUCUAUAUGCAGAAACUUGGUGAUAGUGAUAGUGAUAGCCGAUCUACUCCCACAAAGAAGAAAACCAGACCUAAGCAAAAGCAUUAAUAUUCUUUAAACCAAAGCCUUAACCUAGCUAUAUAUCCAUAUAUAUAUAUAUAUAUAAAUUUUCUAUAUGUGCCUUUACUUGUCGUAUUCAUCACCCAUGCAUGCCAAAUAUAAUUGGUGAUUCAUUAUGGUUCCUGAUUCAUGAGUACUGUCUAUAUAUUAUUCGUUUAAGGCUUGUAUUUGCCUUAUCCUACUGCACAAACUUCUCUCUCAAGCCUUAUAUUUGGAAUUGAUUCAUUGAAUAUAUAUAUAUAUUUGAUGAACUGAGGCAUGAACGUAAGUGGGGACUAUAUUUGAUGAGACAGUGGCCGAAAGCAAAAGUGUAUCAGUUCUGAUCUGUUCUCAUCUUCUCCUCUUAUAAUCAUCUUCAUUCAUCUCAUUACUUGCCUUUGUUUUUCAUUACAUUCUUUUCUUUUUCUCACCAUAUAUAAAUAUUCAACUUCCACUUAAUUUCUUCUUCAUUUUUUGGCUUUAAAUCUCAGUAUUCUUUGAUUUUAAUAUUCAAUUUCUGCAUAUGUUCAUGCCUUUCCUUGUUUCCAAUUUGAAUCUUUGAAGCUGAAAGGGAACCAGAUAUAGAUAAAAUUGACCAGGUCCCUUUUUUCACUUACUGCUCUAUUAGCUUUCAUGCAACAGGCCUACACAAGGUUCACCACAUGUGCGUAUAAUUUUGAAUAUAUGUGCUUCAACAAGAUCCAAAAUUAUUAAUUUUUAUAAGUUAUAACAAUAAUAAUAAUAGUUUUUAUAAGUUAUAACAAUAAUAAUAAUGGUUUCUGAAUGAUGGUACACUAUAACAAGAAAAUUAUUAAAUAGAAACCAAUUUUAGAGACAAAAAAUAAUUAGUUACUAUAGUGAUUAAAUUAGUGACUGUUUAAAAGAUUAAAAAAAAUAAUUUUUUUAUUAAUUUUUAUUAUUGUUAAAUAGUUUUUAAAUUGGUAUCUAAUUAGCUACCAAGAUUUUUCUAUCAAAUUUAGAAUCUAAAUAAUUGAUAAUUAAAAUUUUAUUAGUUAAGUAGAUACAUUUGAAAACUAUUUAACAAUAAUAAAAAUUAAUUUAGAAAGAAAAAAUAUUUUAAUCUUUAAAAUAAUAUCUAAUUUAAUUAUUAUAAAAAUUACUUUUUUUUUAUUUGUAAAAAAUAUUUUUAUUCAGAAAUAGGUAAUAACUUUAUAUAGGCAACUGAAUACCAUAAUUUUACACACAACAAAAACAUGUCUAUUAAAUUUGUAUUUAUUUUCUAAAAUUAAAGAACAUACAACGGAAGUGAAACAAAGUUUAUUAUUUCUAUAAACAUUUUUAUUCAUUUAAAAAUAUUAUAUUUGUUUACAAUUUUAUAAAUAAAAUAAUUUUAUCUUAAUGUCAUUUAUUUCAUUAAUAUUCUUGGUUUAAAAUAUUUGUCUCUUCGUCUUGAUAAACAAGUGUCACUUGGUGUUUAUAAAGGUAUUUACAAAUUAGUAGGGUUUUAUUUUUCAAUCCUAAUUAUUACGCAGUAUGAUUGGUAGCCUAUACGAAGAAAGAUUAGGUUAAUUAAUGUCACGGGUGUGACAGAGGAGUAGCAACAAAAUGAGUACGAUCUACAACAUUAACUGCUCAUAAUUUCUGUACUGUGAGACCAAAUCUAUUCUCCUAUUGCUUUUGUCUAUAGACAAGAAGAGGAUAAUUAAUUUUAUAAUGAUAACAUUUAUUUUAUCAUCUUUUACAUAAGUUUUAUUUCUAUUUUUUAUUUUCAUAUUAAAUCAAUCAAAAUAUACCAUUUUCUAUAAUAUUUCCUUAUUAUUUUAUAGUUGACUCGCUCUUGAUCAAUUGUGCUAACUUAUAAAAAAAUUAUGUAUAUGAAUAAUAUUUAAAAGUGAUUAACUUAGUAAGAUGUCAAGGAGUGAAAGUUGAUGACGUGCCUAAUCCCACUAAAUUUUAUUUUAAAUUUAAAAUAAAACAUAUGUAUAAAUAAUAGAGAUAUUAUAUUUGUAAGAAAAAUUAUUAUAUAAUAUAAAUUAAAUAUAUAAGACCUUGGAACUGAUAAUGAAUUAUGAAAAUAAAUUUAGUGUAUUAUUAUUAAUUCAAUAUGAUUUAUUAAAAAUUAAUUUAUUGUGGCUAUACACUACAAAAAAAAAUUAUAAAAUAGAAACCAAUUUAUAGAGACCAAAAUAAUUGGUUACAAUAAAAAUUAAAAUAGAGACCAUUUUAAAAAUUAAAAAAAAAAUUGGUUUCUAAAUUAGUUUCUAUUAUUUUCUAUUAUUGUUAAAUAGUUUCUAAAUUGGUAUCUAAUUAUUUAACUAUCAAUUAUUUAGUUUCUAAAUUUGGCUGUAAAAACCUUGAUUGCUAAUUAGAUACCAAUUUAGAAAUUAUUUAACAAUAAUAGAAACUAAUUUAGAAACCAAAUUUAUUUUUAGUUUUUAAAAUGUUAUCUAAUUUAGUUACUAUUGCAACUAAUUAUUUUGGUUUUUACAAAUUGGUUUCUAUUUCAUAAUUUUUUUUAGUGGAUAUUGACUAAAUUUAGGUUAAAAAAACAAACAAUAUAUUAUUAAGAGUUAUUUAAAAAAUAAUAAUGACAAAAAAUUGUUAGUAAAAGGGAAGUGUUAGAUGAUAUAAUGACAAAAAAUUGUUAUUAUAGAGAAACGUCACAAAUAUUUAUUCUGAUGUUGAAGACAUUCUUUCAAUUAUAUUUAACAAAAAAAUUAUUCAUUGAUCUUUAACUUAUGCCCUAGAUACUGAUCAAUAAGGAGAUAAAAAGUAUUUAUAACUUAUAAUGAUUAUACCCCCAUUGAAUAAGAUUGUUUUAGGUAAAGAAUAUUUAUAACCUUCUAAAAGGAGAUAAAAUUACAUGGGCCAUGAAACUGAGGACAUAUUCUUUGAAUGCUUAGUUGUUUAGCGAUUCACAUAAUAAACUGCAGUCAAAGUAUCUGGCAGUACCAUUAAUUAUAGGGAUAAAAAGAGGGGCAGAUUAAACAUUCUUUGUGUAGUUUAAUGUGUUGUGAACAAUAAUGCGCACUUUUCUUUUCAAUCAUGAAAACUUUGUCUGCAAACAUGAUAGUGUCUCAACUAAUAAGCAGUAUGAAACAAGGGAAUAGCAUUACACAAUUUCAAAGGUGCAUAGCAGAGCCAAAAUAAAGUGUUCAAAGUCUUCAACUGUUUAGGUAAUCUAUGAUCUCUUGCUUUUUGUUAUCUUUUGAAUCAAUCUUAAUAAAUCCAACCCGUGCACGUAAUUUAUACAUGGCUUGAUGUUUAAAGAUGUUGUCCUUUGUGAAGGCAGGGUUGGUCAGAGAAUGAAUAAAAGGGAGAUAGAUAUAGAUAUGUUGAAUUUAGUUUAAGAAAGUGAAACGUUAAACAGAAGUAGUAGGUUGGUUGGUGUAUAUGGUGUUUGGUUUAUGAUAAAGAUUAAGAGAGGGAAGAUUGCAGCAUGGUGGUAGUGGUCAAAGGUUGUGCAUGAGGGCUAUGAUUAUAGCUGACAAUGUGCCUGAGACUACUUAGGGCAUUGUGUGGCCACGUUUUCAGGCAGAGCCGCGCGUGAGCAAUGAUUGAAGCUUCCCUUGGUUUGCUAAACACAAUCAUGAAGGGACUGGCAACCAACUGAGCCAUGGGACCCUUUUCCACACCCUUCAACUCAACCAAUGCCUGUGUCAUUGACACAUCCAUAGGAUCUUCUCUAUUCCCACUAUACAAUAUUACAUCACUGCUCUUUCAACUUUCAACUUUGAAGGUUAAUUUGUUUGUUUUUGCUUACUUCUUUCAAUUCAAUACACUCACUCACUGACCCUCCCUCUGUGCCAAUGUACCUACACCUCGUUUCUGUCACAACACUUGAAAGGUUGCUACUUGCUUCGUAUUGCUAGCUGUGCAUUUCUAGGCUGUGGACCAGAUUCUUAUUGAUUGAACUUUAACUCUCUUGCCCUUAUGCCUUUCUUUCUCUCAUCUCUCUUCCACCCUUAUCACUCUCCUCCAGAUAUACACAUAAACCUGUCGGUGUGACACUCAACUCUACUUCACUAAUGUUAUACUAUAUUCUAAGAUUAAAUUUUUCUUGUCCUUUACCAUGCACAAAAACAUAAACAAAUCUUAUUUAUAAUAAGGAAAACACUUCUUAUCUUCUUUCUCAAAAAAAAACAACACUUCUGGUCCUCUUAUCUUAAAGUGGAGUUAGUACUUGGAGCUUAUCUUAACAGAUGCUAUGUCUAUCAGAUUACUUACCUUUCCAAACUUUAUUAUAUUCAAAAUUUCUGGUUUCUUGGAUCCUAGUCAAAAUUCAAAGAGACUGCUAAAAUUUACACAUGCAAAUGGGUUUUAAAUUUGUAACAGUGCUAAGGAAGGAAUCUGAACAAGAUCGGUGGCACAUCUUCUUCCUUUUUGGUAUGACAUGGACAAUGGAGGUUGUUCUUCUGGUUACUACGGCAACAAGUAGACCAUGCUUAAUAAAUCCGUACAGUAUCGUUAUGGCACGCGCGUUUGUCCUUUCCCAGCAAAAGGAAUAUAAAUGUCACAGCAAGUAUAUGUAUAUAUAUGUGUAUAUAUUAUUUCUUGAGAUUCUCUUUUUUUUUUCUUCUCUCUGGUUGUAACCAGCCACACGUGGUUUCGCCCUAUCUCUUAUCAUUAUUUUGAUGAUAUUUUCUUUGGUUUGACACUCCCUCGUAUUGAUUGCUGGCCCCCUCUGCCCACGACUCUGCGUGUUCAUCAGGGAGCGAAUUGCACUGCAAUUUGCAAGCACCAACUCUCAAAUCCAACGGACACAAACGCUGGAGAUCCCACUCAAUCUCACACCUAUACUUCCAAUUCCUAUGUGAGACUAUAUAUAACAGGUGGUCUGAUAACAGUCCGAUCCGAUAGCGGGUGGACCGAUAAGGCCAACAUCGGACCGGACCGAUAAGACCAACAAACAAUGCUAGGAUAAACUCGAAAUGAUUCUGAUAUCAUAUUAAGAAGUAAAUUUUAAGCCUAAUUUAAUCUCAUAAAACCGAUUUAUAGGGUUAAGAUUUCCACCCCAUAGAAUGAAAGAGUCCAACAAUUAAAACAUGAUCAUCUGGUGAAUUAUGCCACUGCAUGAAUUUGAAAUUCUGCAUCUAAUAGUGGUGUUUUGAUUUCUUUGUUUUAUAACCAAAAUCAACCACCCCAGAGAUUAAGCGAGACACAAUCAUAAAAGUUAAUGUAGAACCGUUUCUCCCUAGACUCUAGCUAGGGUUAUCAUUAUACUUACUAUAUAGUAUGCCUAAUUAUGCAGUGUAUGUAGUCACGUCAACACAGAGUUUUGAUAUUUUUGUUUUCAGAUUCUAAAAUUUAAUUAGCAUGAAAAAUGAGAUCUUAGACGAGUUUGAAUUUGUCUUCCUUUUCUGUUAAUGAGGUUAUUCAGUUAUUGGUAUCUACUCAAUUUUCAGCUCUUGUGCAUGUGGGUGAUGAUAAAGGUACACACUACUACAUCUUAUCUUGAGUUGAUUGGGUGGGAAGAAAAAUUGGGAAAAAAAGUGACACAAUUAAAAUGCAUUAACAAAAAAAAAUUAUUUAUAUUAGCAACUAUUCAUAAAUUAAUUAUUAAAUUUUGUAAUACUUAAAGUGUUUUUAUUUAGUCAACAUAAAAUGUUUAUAAUUAAUUUAGUAAAAGCCGAAUUGAAGGGAUAUAUUGUAAUCAUGAUUUACACGAGUAUAAAAUAGUAUAUAGUUUUGGAAAGUCAGACACGUUGUCUUAAAUACAAAUCAAAUAAUUUUUCAAUUUUUCAAUAUUCUAAAAAUAUAUAAAGUUGCACGAAUUUUCUAUCUUGGCGACUAAAUUUGGGAAUAGACAUUUCUUUAAUUGGGUCAAGAAAAGUGAUCGCUCUAAAAAAUAAAAAUAAAAAUAAAAUAAAAAAAGAAGAAAGUGUGAUUUCAUCAUUGGGUGUGCUUAUUUGUUGAAACACUACCGUUGACUCACCAAGGUAAACUAUGUUCGUCGUUAAACAAGUAUUUUUUUAAUGCAGAAAUUAGUGUUUGUGAGUUUGAUUAACCUUGGAAGUUGAAAGGUUAAUAAUGGAAUGAUAAAUGUGUGUGUGAGAAAGAAUGAGUUGGAGGUGUAAAGAGAAGUUAAGUAAAGGGUUGGUGAAUUAUUUUGAUUGGUAAAUGUCUUCUCAUUCACACGUGUGGUCCAGCCACGUGGAUGUUUGAUGAUAACCCCAUGGUAGCAAUGAUUGGCCAUGCUGCCCACCCGCACGAGUGCUUGCUUUCUUUAUGCUUUAUGCCUUAUGCCCUUAUCCUUAUGGGCCUUCCUCUUCAUUUUCAUUUUCCUUUUCACUUCCUAACAUAACAUUCCACUAUACUUUUAUUUAAUACCACAUUUAUUUCACACCUUUAAUCCACUCUAUUUUCAAAGAGAAAGAAGAGAAAGUGUAAAGGGUUUUAAAUUUUAAUGUAGAAUUUGAUUUUUUUUUUAAUUUUAAGUACUUAAAUUACUCUUGUAAAUUCUUAUAAUUUUACUUUAUUUUAAAUUUUUUAAUCAAAUAAUAUUUUAUAUAUUUUGUCAUUAAUAUUUUAAAUUCUGUAUAAAAAUAAAUUAUCACUUUAAAAUUUACGAUUUAAUUAAACUACAAGACAAUACUAUUGAAAAUUUUGAAGGGAAAAAGCUUUAGAAUGAUAAUUACCAAUAAAUCAUGAAAUAACAACAACAAAAAUAUGAUACUGCCUUUUGUAAAAGUUUUCUGAUCUUUCUCACUUAUACUUAUACUCUAACAAAAAAAAUUAGUUAAUUAUUAUGGUGUUAACUUUUUUUUUUAAAUGUGGUGAACUUGAUAAUAUAUUACCAUAUUUAAAUUAUUAAAUAACUCGUUUUAAAAAAUUCAAAUAUAUUUCUGGACUAUUUUUCAAUAAGGUUCCUAAAAUAAAAUAAAAAAAUUCUUGAUAUCAGUUAUUGGUGACCUGAACCUGCCUCAAAGUGAAAAAUAGAGACAAAUUUUAAAAUUUUGGAGACUCAAUUAGAAAAAUUACACACUAAAAGACUCGAUUAAAAAAAGGGUUUAGAAUUUAGAAGAAAAAAAUCAGAUAGUUCAAGACUUAUUAAUAAUUUAGUCUAUUAACAUAUGUUUAAAGACAGCAAAGAAUUUAUUAAUAAAAAAUUUAAUAGUUAAAAUUUUAAUGACUUAUUUAAAACUUUAUUAAUUUUAAAGUUUAAUUUAUGCAAGAUAUUACACUCUGUUAUUUUAUUAUUUGAUUUUUUGAUUUUUUUUUUUACUGCCUUCAUCACUUUCCAUAAUUUGUCUGCUACUUCAUGGUGCGUUCUCUGUACAUAAAACCAAAUAAAACAUUUUUGUCUCGAAUCUACGACAAGAUUUGGAUUCGAAAUCUUGUCUACUUUUCUUCAGCCAACUCUUUUGGGAUUAGAUCGGUUAAAUUUCUAAAUUUGAAUGCACUCUGUAUUAUAAUUUUCAAUACUCACUUCAAAAAUUAUAAGAGCUAUGGGGCUUUUAGAUUAUUCUGUUUUUAGUACUAAAAAUGUAAACAAAAUGUGCAUGAAUGGUGUCAUGUGGUGAUUUGGGCAUCGAUAUUUGAAAAUGCAAACGCAGUGGAUGUUCUUGUAAUUUAUAUGAGUUUGAUUUUCUGAAAUGAUAAGUUGAAAAUUAAGGUUGUUUGUGGAUUAUAGGUGGUUGCUGAUAUAGAACAAAGCAUAGCCAUGGUGAUAUCAUGUGUGAACACCCAUUAUCGUUAAAAUAAAAUAAGUUAUAAAUUUUCAAAAUAUAAACCUCCAAUAAAUAAAUAUAUAUAUAUAUAUAUAAAGAGAGAAAUAUAUAAUAUAUAAGUUUUUUCAAAAAAUUUAAAGUAUAAUCAACUCUAUCUUUUUUUUUAGAAGUAGAUUAUACUUAUUAUCGUCUAGUCAUAUUAUCUUUUAUUGAUCGAGUUUGUCUCAUAAACUCAAUGUUGUUAGUGACUAUAUUUAAGAUGUCUAAGAUUCUAAUUAGAGAUAUAAAUAAAAUAUAGAAGAAAUGUUUGUUGCUCACAAUUAAAAUCUAGUCACUUAUAAACUCAGUAAUAAGAUAAAAUCCAAUACAAUAUAAGUUAACAAAAAGUUAAAUUCACUCUAUCAAACUAUAAUAAACUUCUGAACACAACCAAAUCAUUAUUGCUAUAAAAUAAUAAGCAACAUACCGUAAAUUCAUAUCAUAUAUGUAACAAAACAACUCUUUAUUUCAUUAAAAACUAGUAUUUAUUCCUUAUCUUACCAAAGAUACCAACAAAUCAGACAACAUCAAUUUUAAGAUCCUCGUAACUUUCAUAAUUUCAAAGAUUUUCAUAAAUUUUAAGAUUUUGAUAGUCUUUAUAAAAACCUUAAUAGUUAAUAUUAUACUAAUUAAUAAACUAGUUUAUAAUUUUUUAUUAAUAAUAUAAAUUACCUUAUGUACCGUCGAGACGGACAACCUGUACAUCUGGUAUCAAAGGUCGUAGACCGGCUAAGGAUAAAAACUAUAACCCUGAGUAAAUGACUUAAUAGAAAUUUUAUACAAGUUUUGAAAUUCAUGAUAUUUAACAAAUGUUUUUAAACAUAUGAUAUUUUACAAAAGUUCGUAAACUCGUGAUAUUUAAUGGAAGUUGUAAAAGACUUUUUCUGAAAUUUUAAAAAAAUCAUGAUUUAACGAAAAAAAAAACUACAAUCCUAAAUAAAUUACUUAAUAAAAGUUUUAGACUUAUAUAAUAUAAAAAUAAAUCUCCGUUAAAAUAAUUUUUCUUGCAAUGUUUCAUAUUAAAAUAGAACGUAAUUAUACUAUUAAUAUUUAUUUUGUUUGAAUGCUUAUUUUGGCUUUAUUUACUUGACUUGUUAACAAAAUAGAAAGUAAAUAAUAUAAAUUAUUGAUUAAAAAAUGAAGAGUUAAAAUUAGACAGUGAUGGAGAUGUUGUGAGGAAGUAGGUAGCUUGCGAGAUGCAAUGAGAAUGAAACAGUAGUUAUCACAUUUCAUAAACCCUUUUGGGUCCAUUCCCAACUGAAUUAUUUUUGUGUGGGUCCCACCAAUACCCAUAAAAUUAUAUGUUAAAACUAUGUUACUAGCAUGUUAGUACCAUGUUACUACUAUGUUACAUGCAGAUCCAAAUUCAUUCACCACGCCGACAUAUCAUUAAGCCCGUGACUCUGCUGUUUACACCAUCCACUCACUUUCUUUCAACCACUCACUCACACUACCAACUAUACCAAAAACUCAAUUUCCCAUCUUCAUUUCUUCUCCAUCACUCUUCUUUUAUCCACCAAAUCAAAUUAUUAAUAUCAAAAUCACUUCUUUAAUUAAUUGCGUUUAUAAAAUCAUUUAUCUAAUUCAUUUAUCAAUUCACAUAUUAUAAUACGUAUUCUUAUUUCUAGUUGACGUGUGAUCUCCAACAUACACCCUCACGUCGAGAGUGACAGCUCAUGCGUGGAACAACAUAUUAUGAGUGAUCCGAUAACGAUCCGAUAGCGGGUGGCACAAUAAGUCCAACAAACACUCGUUAAGAUAUGUUUUAAAUGGUUCUAAUACCAUAUUAUGAAGUGGACUUUAAGCAUAACUCAACCUCAUAAAACCGAUUUAUGGGAUGAGGUUUGCAUUACAAUGAAAUAUUCUUAUAGUGGGAUCUCCAACAUUAUGUACUCAUUAUCAUACUUCUUCAACGAGUUUCUCCAUAUUUUAUAAAAUAAAACAAUAUUAAAUUUAAAUUUUACGUUAUUAAUUAAUUUUAUAAAAUUAAAUUACACUUAAAAUCCAUCUUUUGAUAAUUUUCAUCACAAAUUACACAAAUUUAAUUCAACCUUUGUUAUUAGAUGCAUAAGCAUUUUUUUAAAUAAUUUAAUCAAUGAGCUAUGAAUAUAUAUACAUUAAUUUAAUUUUUUUUAUUAGAGGAAGAUGCAAAUUUAAUUCUUCACUAAUUGAAAGAGGGAUUGAAUAUAAUUAUAAUAAUGUAGGGAUUGAAUAAAAAUUAAACAUAUCACAUAUGAAUAAAAAAAGUCACCAAAAACAACUAAACAUAUCAUCAUGAAUAUAUUACGGACAGCGUGCAAACCAAUGUUUUUUAUUUCAAUACUUUGAAAAGCAAUGUAAUUGAUGUAAUCAUUGACGGGGUUUCGUUACCGUUAAAAUACAAGUAUGUUUUUUAAUAAUUUUGCAUUUCAGAUGCCUCCGCUCUUCUAAAAUCAAUUUUCGGAUUUUUUUAAUAAGUUAAUUAGUCAAAUUUGUUUUAUUUAAUUAAAAAAUACAAUUUUAACGAAGGAUCUGUUUUGAUAUUUAUUUUAUCAUUUUUUUCUAUAAGAUUUUACGAAAACAAAUGUCCAAAUAAAUCUUUAUAUUAUUUCAUUCUAUUUAACUCAAUUUGGCUUAACCCAAUUUAAUUAGGGUUUAAACACGUAUUUAACAACCUAACAAAUAAAGAAAAUUAACAACUUGGAUUAGUGGAUGAUUUGGUUCACUAACAAUUCAAUCGAAUGUAAUAAUAUUAUUGUAAUUUUACUUAAAUAGAUAUUUGUGCGAUGCAGGGAAUAGAUUGAUUACCACGUUUUAAAUAAUUAAAACAAAAUAAGCAUGAUAUAUUUAAUUUUUGAAAUGAUUACUAUGUUAAAAUAGUUUUUAUACUUGUGUCAUAUAUAUAUAUAUAUAUAUAUAUAUAUAUUUUUUUAUUUAUUAUUUAUUAGUCUACGUUUCUAUAGUUAAGUUAGUGUAUGUCUAAACUAAUUUUUAAUUAAAAAUUAAAAAAUAAAAUAAUAUUUCUAUGUAUUUAUUAUUANNNNNNNNNNNNNNNNNNNNNNNNNNNNNNNNNNNNNNNNNNNNNNNNNNNNNNNNNNNNNNNNNNNNNNNNNNNNNNNNNNNNNNNNNNNNNNNNNNNNGAAAUAUUUAAAAAAAAAUAAGAAAUAUACAAAAAAAAAAAUCUCAUAAAACACUUAAAAUUUUGAAAUUACUCAUAAAAUACUUGAAUGGUUUUCACAUUUAUGGCUUGGAUAAUUAUUUUUCUUAAAAACCUCUUCAUUUUGAAUUAGUUAUUAUUUGUUUUACCUUUUCAUAAUACUUAAGUAAAUACUAUGUUUAUAUAUAUAAAAUAAUAAUAAUAAUAAUAAUAAUAAUAAUAAUUUUGUUUUAAAUAGGCUUUUGCUUUGAAAGUUGUAUUUCUAUAACCAACCACACAGUAAACCACCGACAAUUAUUCAAUUAUUUCUCUUCCAAUGGUUUAACAAUUAUGCAUUCACAUGGUAAAAUGUUUGUUUUAAAUUGUCAUCCAAAAUAAUGAAUAAAUUAUUAUUUUUUCACAAUAAAAGCCUUACAAUAAAUUCUUUAUCCAUGAUAAUUUUUAAUUAAAGGAAAAUAUAAAUUUGUUUUAUUAUGUUAAUACAUAAAUUUUUAUCAUAAAAAUCUAAUUAAUUGUUACUACAUUUAUUUUGAGGGAUACCAACAUAGAUAAUGUCCAUUGCAAAAUAACAAGCCAACAAAUGUCUAAAUUAAAUGAAAUUCGAUAUAAAAUAAUACAAAUGUAAAUAUCAUCAAUACUUGUAAAAUGAUACUUGAUAUCAUUUUCAGUUAAUUAAAAGUAUAAAGAACAUUAGUAAGACAAAAAAAAUUAACAAAUAAAAAUAUCAAUAAUACUUUAAUAUUUUAAAUUUAAUAAAUGUCAAUUAUUUUGAUUUCAUUGGUUAAGAAAGAAAGUAAAAUAAAAAUUUAUUAGUAUCGAAUAAAUAUAAUUUACUAUUUUUAUAUUGUUUUCCAACUUUCAUCUCAAAUAUAUUAAAAUAAUAUCAUUAAAAUAAAUUAUUUUAUUUAAAUUAUUGUUUAACUUUAUCAUAAUUUUGUUUUUAAACGUCAUUUUAAAUUAUUAAAAGAGAAAGAUAUAUAUAAAUUAUUCUUUAUUUCAACUAUGUGAGAUUAUAUUAGUAAUAUAUCUCGACUCUAACUAUAAUUUUUAAUGUGAGAUUAUACUGAGAAACAAUUUGAAAUGAAAAAAUCAUUUAAUUAUUUAAAGAAUAGAUCCAUUUAUUAGCAAUGCAUUUUAAUAUUUUUCAAAAAUAAUUAAAACUAACAACGAUCAGUUAAAAUAAAACCUGAAGUACAAAUCAGUUUCGAUGAUUCCAUGAUCGUUGGAGAAUUUUUGAAUAAGAGAAUGUAAUAACAUAUUUUGCUAAUAGUUAAAUUGAUUAAAACUAUAAAAUCAUGAAUAAAUUUGAAUAAACAAUAAGAAAAGCACCGAAUAUAAUUCAGUAAAGAACAUGUAUCUAAUGGUUUUCUGUCUCUUUUUAUUUUAAAAAUAGUUUAUGGAGGUAAUUUUACGGUACUCGAAAGGUAUUUUGAAAAGAGUGUUAUUAAAAAGCCAAAGAAAAAAGUGUUUUGUAUCUUGCAGCAAGUUUUGAGCAGUCUAAAAAUAGUUAAAAAAAGAGAUGAAAGAUAUUAUAAAUUGGUUGUAUUUGAAAAAGAUGAGCAUGUUCUGUGCCUAACAAGUUAACAGAAGAGGAUAUCACUUUCAACUUUCCCUUGAGGGAGCCGUUUGGAAAAGAAGGGAAAGAAAAAGAAGAAAGAAGAAAGAAGAGAAGAGGGAGUAAGAGGGAAGCAGAAAGGAAAAGACAAAGUAUUGAUUAAUCCCUGCAUGCCUGGAACAAGCUCUCUCCCAAAAAAUCAGAAUAAGAGAGAACAAAAGCAACAGUGGUUAGUACUUGGUAAAGUAUAAUGGAACAGAAGAAAGGUAAGCACAUAGAUUGUUUUUUUUCGUUUAAAGAAUGAAAAAGUAGAAUGAUGAGUUAAUGAAAUAUAAUUAAAGCAUAAACAAGAUUAAAAUUGUAAAGCUUACUGUUUUCCAAAGUGUAAAGCCAAUUUGCUGGUUCCUACUUUCCGCUGUUUUCGCUUAAAGUCAGAAGAGAAGCUUAUAAAACCACCCCAUUGGCUUCACGCUUUCAUUAGCUCCAAUUUCCUCAUUUUAUUACGCCAUAAAAUGCAAAACCUUUUCUAGUUUUUCUCUUUUCUUUUCUCAUACCAACCAAAAACUGCACACAAUACCAACAUAACACAACACAACACAACGCAAGUGUACUCACAUUUUUUUUUCAGGCUUAAAACACACACCCCACCACAGAGAACAAAGAAAGAGAGAGAUUAGAAAGAUCAGAAUCAGACAGGCUAGCUCCAUGUCUGACUCACAUCUAACUUUCUACUCUCCUUCUUCCAUUCUUGCUCUUCUCCCACUCUUCUUCAUCUUCUUCAUUCUUAUCAAAAGAAAGCAAACCAAACCCAGGCUCAACCUUCCCCCAGGUAACAUGGGCUGGCCAUUCCUUGGUGAAACCAUUGGCUAUUUAAAGCCUUAUUCUGCCACCACCAUAGGGGAAUUCAUGGAGAAACACAUAGCAAGGUAAAUUAAUUAGUUAACCGCCACCAAACCUUGUGUAAUCGGUCUAAAACUGAAAAGUUUGAAUGUUUUUGUAUGUAUAGUCCCAAGUUUCAAAAUCUCAUUGACCUUGUUAUGUCAACAGCAGCACACACAAAAUCCCACAGUAUAGAUAGAGAGGUGCUCUACCACUCUAAUGAACAUGCCAAUGUUUGUUUUCAGGUAUGGUACAAUCUACAAGUCCAAGCUAUUUGGGGAGCCGGCAAUAGUGUCAGCAGAUGCAGGACUCAACAGGUUCAUUCUGCAGAACGAAGGGAAACUGUUCGAAUGCAGCUAUCCGAGAAGCAUUGGCGGAAUACUCGGGAAAUGGUCCAUGUUGGUCUUAGUCGGCGACAUGCAUAGAGACAUGCGGGUUAUAUCACUCAACUUUCUGAGCCACGCCAGGCUCAGAACCCACCUCCUGAAAGAGGUGGAGAAACACACCCUCUUGGUUCUAAACUCUUGGAACCAAAAUUGCACGUUCUCAGCCCAAGAUGAAGCCAAGAAGGUACUUUUUGUUUCACCUUUAACACACACGAGUCACAUAAAAAAGUACUAAAGGGGUGUUUUCAUGUUUCUUGUCACUCUCAAUUGGCUUGUGCAAAUCGCAGUUCACCUUCAACCUGAUGGCUAAGCAUAUCAUGAGCAUGGAUCCUGGGGAAAUCGAGACAGAGCAACUAAAGAAAGAGUACGUCACUUUCAUGAAAGGGGUGGUAUCCGCGCCAUUGAAUCUACCUGGAACUGCAUACCGAAAGGCGUUAAAGGUAAUGAUAACAACAACAACAAAUUGUGUUUUAUUUUUUUCUCUAGUUUGGCAGUGGUGAAUUUUUUAAUCCUGUGAUGUUUGUCAAUGUUUCACAGUCUAGGUCCACCAUACUGAAGUUCAUAGAGGGGAAAAUGGAAGAGAGAGUGAAGAGAAUCCAAGAGGGAAACGAGAGUUUGGAGGAAGACGAUCUUCUGAACUGGGUUUUGAAGCACUCCAAUCUCUCCACGGAACAAAUUCUUGACUUGAUUCUCAGUCUGCUCUUCGCUGGCCAUGAAACUUCCUCAGUAGCCAUAGCUCUAGCCAUCUACUUUUUGCCCGGUUGUCCUCAAGCUAUGCAACAGUUAAGGGUAAGCAAGUACAACCAUGACGCCACGUCCAAUAUUUUCUUCAAACACUUUUCUCACCCUGUCCACCUUCUACCACACAAUUCACUCCAAAUUUUACUUGUGAUAAUUAGCUUCUUCUUUUUCAUUUGUGUGAAAAAAUAAACAGGAAGAGCACGGUGAAAUUGUCAGAGCCAAGAAACAAGCAGGGGAAGUCGAACUCACUUGGGACGAUUACAAAAGAAUGGAAUUCACUCACUGCGUAAGUGAAUGUUAACAGUAAUAUACAAGUCAGCAGUUAAGAAUAUUAUAUGGGAUGACGAGGUGAUACAGUAUAAUAAAGUGUUUAUUACUUACAACAGAACAGCAUUAUAUUAUAAGCAACUUUGAUAACACAAAGUGAAUAAGAAAAACACACAUUUAAGUAUAUAAAGUGGUGUACUUAUGAACUAUUUGUUACAUUUUUUGAAGGUUGUGAACGAGACACUAAGGUUGGGAAAUGUUGUGAGGUUUCUCCACAGGAAGGCUCUGAAAGAUGUUAAUUAUAAAGGUAUGUUUGGAGGGUGUGGAAAAUUUGUAUAUCUGUUUUGUAGAAAGAUGAAAAAUUGUGCUGUGAAAAAAGAAAAGGGAAAUCAAAUUGAAAAUGGUGUGUGUGUGUUUUUGAAAGGUUAUGACAUUCCAUGUGGGUGGAAAGUCCUUCCGGUGAUUGCAGCCGUGCAUCUGGAUCCUUCACUUUUUGACCAACCUCAACACUUCAAUCCAUGGAGAUGGCAGGUCAGUUCUACUUAUAACAAUGGACAGCACGCGCUGUAUAGUUAUUAUUGUGCAACCCUUUUCUUGUUUUCUUUUUAUUUAUUUUUUGUUGUUCAUCUUGUUCUUUUUUUUCUCAAAAGCCAAAGCUGGGUAUAUAAAAUAGAUAAAUUAGGAAAAGAGAAAAGGAAAUAAGCAGAGGUCCCCAAGCACUUGAAAUGGUCCUUGCGGUGGAUCCCCACAUGCAAUCAGAGCCUCACUGGCUAAUUUUAUUUUCCUGGAAGGUGUGGUGAGAACAAAAUUUAGUUGAGGUUGGGGGUGGGGAUUUUGCCCAAAACGUCACCCCGUAAUAGUUGCAUGUGGUUUUUCUAGUCGUAGCCCAAUUAGCUUCGCGAGUUAUCUUCCUUUCCAGAAGAGAAACAGGUUUUUACGUUGGGCGCUUCUGAAUCAGACCGAACAUAACGUACGCAGGUUGUACGGUUUGACAAAAUAGAUAAAGAAAAUAAUGCUUGAUGUCAUUCAUUCUAGUUGACUUCGUCCAAACUCCUAACUCCUAACUACCUAUGCCCUAUAUGCCUUCUUCAUAGCUAAUUAAUUAACACCUCAUCACCAAAGCACAUGCUUCUAAAGUUAUAUAACCUAAUCUACUCCCCCUAACAACGGUGAAGAUUGAGUGAGAUUAGUAAUUAAUUAAGAAUGGCGAAUGAUUAUGGGUGAAGAAAAAACGUAGGACAUACUAGAUAUAGAUAUAGAUGUGGUAGUUUUGUGGGUAGACAGCGUGAGGGUUAUUUUUGAGUUUAGUGAUGGUUAGGGGGGGGGGUGAGAAAUGAUUGUUGGGGAUGGCGAAUAAUGAAAAAGGAUCAAGUGGGUCCAUGCAUGCAACCAUCCAUCCAUCUCAUCUGCAUAAGUAUGAAUGAUGGUGUGGUGGUGGGUUGAGAAUUGAGAUGAUGAAGUGUCAUGAUCGGCGAAGGGGAUGUUGUGAACAGUACGGAGGUGGGUCCAUGUGGAUGCGAUGGAUGAUGAUGAGCAUGGGUGUUUUGUGAACGUGUGGCCAGGUCCUGAGGUUCCAGAUCAUUAAUGCCCAUGUGGAAAUGGGCCCCACACCUGCACGUGCAUCUCUGCUUUUUUUUUUCAAAUCAAAUACAACUCCCAAUGAUCCAUUUCAGGAUAACAAAUACAUGGUGACAUCAAUCUCAAAAUUAUUAAUACUUACUAACUCACUCAUAUGAUUAUUGAUGGUGCAGAACCAUGGCGGCAGCGGUGGUGGUGGAGGUUGUCCGAGCAACAAGAGCACGGCGGCGAACAAUAACUUUCUGGCGUUCGGCGGAGGGUCACGGCUGUGCGCGGGAUCGGAGUUAGCGAAGCUUGAAAUGGCGGUUUUCAUCCAUCAUCUGAUCAUCAACUACCACUGGGAGUUGGCCGAAACAGAUGAAGCUUUUGCCUACCCUUUUGUGGACUUCCCAAAGGGCCUACCCAUUAGAGUCCAAGCCCAAUCUUUGAUCUAAGUUCCUUAAAUUCAAAUAACUUACUUAGUUCACCCAAUAUAAAAAAGUAAAAACUAGGGAAGAGGAAGACAAAUAUUAAGUACAAUUGUACAAACACAGGGAUUAGGACCACUUCUUUCCUUUUCUUCUCUUCUCUACCCUCUACUAUAUAUUUUUACUGCCCACCCACAUUGUACAUUUUAUAUAUCCCCACCACCACUCAAUAUUUAUUCUUUUUUAUUUUUAUUUUUAUUUUCCAUGCCCACUGUUGUAAUCUACCACCUUCUUUUCUUACUACUACUUAUAUUAUUAUAAUAAUAAUAAUAAUAAUAAUUAAUAAUUUCUCUGUAAAAAUGUAUACGUUGUGUUGCUUUCCUUUACGCCAUCCCCAACAUGAACCCGUGCAGGACACAAUUAUGGAAUACGUUUCAAUCCAACGUUGUUCAUCAUUAUUGUAUCUUCUUGCAAAUUCCUCUUUUCGAAUAAUUUUUUUAAAUGAGUAGCAGAGAAAGAUACGACGCAUUAAUUCCGGGAGUUGUUUUUUUUUUUUUUAUACUUUAUAUAACUCUCUUGCAUCGGUUUGCAAUCUGGGAGGCAGAUUCAUUUGUUGUUGGGUGGGUAGUGGCUAUAAAUGUUGCAACGGGGUCUGGGACUAAUGGAAUGAAUCAUAAAGUGUAACCAAAAAUAUAAGAUGUGAAUUUGUGAGUAAAACCAUAUGCACCAAUUGCACCCUUUGACUUUGGUGUGACGUGAUUAUUAAUUGAGUAAUUGGUGAUGGCCCCACCGGAGCCUCCUCCAUUCACCACCAUUUUCUUCCUUCUUUUUUAAGUUUUUCUUCAUCAAACAGUGAAAUUGAAACACGCAGCUUAUUGGGUCUACAUCAUUUUCAUCGGAUAAUGCCAUUACGGUGCAAAAAAAAAAAGUCUUGCGAAGGCUUCACACGGAACAAGGUGUGUUUAUAUGUGAAAGGCCAAAAAUAAUAAGUUAAAAGAAAUUAGUGAGGACUCGACGAAGUAGCAGCAGCAGCAGCAAAGUGAAACACUAUAUAUGGCUCCAUGCCUUAAUCGUAAAUAGUGUUAAAUCUGAGGGCUCUUGUGAGGUUACAUUUGGCAUGUAGCGUGGUUGUUGUUAGGUUAAGUUUCGCUUUCUGGUCGCAGCGAUGUAUCUUCGUCCUCUCUUUUCAGCAGCAGUGGCCUACGGAACUGCACGUUAAUAUUACGGAUCCAAAAAUACCAAGUUUCUGAGAGUCCUAGAAAGAGUUUUGAGGCUAAAUAGUUAUGAAGGCUAAUAAGGUUUGCAAAAAUAUGGAGAGCAACGUGGAAUCAAUAAUUAUGAAAGCAAGAAAAGAACCAUUGCUUGGCUCCAAAUCAAAACAAAUAUUUGGCUCACCGACAAAUCCAACUCCUCCUGGUCCCGGGAAUCCAUAACGAAUCAAAUUAUUACAGAUACACCACUACAUAGUUUUUCACAUAUGUUAGUUGCAAGUUAGUUAUUUUCUGUUGUUGGCUGAUUAUUUUAUUGAAGAUGGAUUAUUUUCUUGUUUGUUUUUAUGAGAUGCUGUUAAUUUCUGCAAUUUUAUUUGAUUAAUUAAGAAUUGGCCUUAUCCAAAGGUAAUUCCACUAUUCACACCACCAAGGUAUAUGUAUAUGUAGCUCUAAAUAGUUGGUACAUACAAAAUUGAGUUUUGAUUAACUUAUUUUAGAGUUUAAAUUGUGUAUUUAAUGAAUUUUUGGAAAACAAAAAAAAAAUUGCAGGAAAAUACUUCUCCCUGAACAUGCAGGGAAAUCACUUGAUAACAAAUUUCUCUUUCUUUUUCUCGAGUAAUCAAAAUAAGUAAAACAUGGAAGUGAGUUUUUUAUAGGCCCAAACCCGUUAAAACAUUGGAUCCAGUCCAUUUCAUUUUCAUGUCCCGUUUUGACAUUUGAAAAAACAAAUAUUUGAAUUCUGUUGAGACUGUUUCUUCCUGCACCUCUAUAUCUUCUUCCGCCACCUCAAUACACAACAUGAAAAUACAUUUUUAUCCUUCUUGUAUCAUUCCAUAGAAUAGUUUCCGGAUUAUAUAGAUUAUAUAAUCUGAAAACUCAUUUGAAAAAAGACUUCCGGAUUACAUAAUCUGGAAGCUAAAUAAGACUUCCGGAUAAGUAGUUAUGUAUCUAAAAAAGGACUUCCAGAUUAUGUAAUCCGGAAACUUAUUACAAAUUUAAAAAAUGAUUUCCAGAUUAUGUAAUCCAAAAUUUUACAAGGGCAUUUUUUUGAAAAUGUUUAGUUGUUGGAUUCCAAAAUGAUACAAUUGGAAAGUGGAUUGGGUACAUUAUUUCCAUUUUGCUUACCUCACAAAAAUACCAUGUUUCAUGCCAAAGUGGGCAAGUUGUUAAUUACAACUUAAAAAACAUUUUGGAAAACUUAAAAUAAUAUAAAAGAAAAGUGUUUUUUUUUGGAGAUGGUAUUGAAGUUACUUGGUCAUGAAUAAAUUGAGGUGAUGAGCUAUCAAGCGUGUGAUUAAUUAGUGCUUAUAACUUUUCUCUAUGUUCCCUCCCAAGUGAAUUAUUUAUUUCAUAAGAUUUAAGUUUACCAUCUACAACUUUUGAUUGGUGGUUUAGCUUCACCCUGAAAAUUAACUGUAUUUUUUAUUACUAAGCCAGUAAUAAAAACAGGCUAUGUAUUUAUAAACACUAAGCUCAUAUAUAUAUAUAUAUAUAUAUAUAUAUAUAUAUUANNNNNNNNNNNNNNNNNNNNNNNNNNNNNNNNNNNNNNNNNNNNNNNNNNNNNNNNNNNNNNNNNNNNNNNNNNNNNNNNNNNNNNNNNNNNNNNNNNNNAAAAAAUCUGGAAACAUAUUUUGGAAAAGGGAAUCUGAAAUGUAUUUUUAUAUGUAUUCCAUUUUUUAAGGGCAUUUUCGUCUUUUCAUUGGAAUUGGGUGUAGUGAUAUGGUGCAGAAAGUAAUUGCCUAAAAAGGAAAUCUUACUUUUUUUUAUUGGGUUUGGGCCUAUAUCCCUGAACAGACUGUUUCUUCCUGCACCUCCAUACCUUCUUCUCUUACCUCCAUAAAUUUUUGAAUUUUCAAAAAUGUCUCUCUAUAAUAUUCUGGAUUACAUAAUCUGGAAGUCAUUUUUCAAAUUUAUAAUUAGCUUCCGAAUUAUGUAAUCCGGAAGUCUUUUUUGAAAUGCAUGAUUACUUUCCAGAUUCUAUAAUCUGGAAGUCUUAUUUAACUUAUAGGUUAUGUAAUCCGUAAGUCUUUUUUCAAAUGUGUUCCGGAUUACAUAAUCCAGAAACUAGUUUAUGGGGAUGAGAAAAAAGAAUAAAAAUAUAUUUUCAUGAUGUGUAUGGAUGUGGCAGAAGAAGAUAUGGAGGUGCAUGAAGAAACAGUCCUCUCUGAACAUUAUUCUGGAUACCAUAACAUUCGAAAAUUGUGUUUUUCAUUCUGCACUCUCAUAAAAUCCAAUUGCACCCCCAUAAAAACUGAAACUCCACUUUUACCCUUUUAAAAUUGUAUUUUCGAACGUAUAAAAAAAAAUACACAAUAAAUACUUAGCUCUUCAACAGUGCACAAUGAUCAAUGUACUUCCAACUGUUUUUCUCACUCACGAACCGAUAUUAUAAAAUUUGGAAGGGAAGCAAGUAGGGGUGCAAUGAAAGGUAUAAAAAAGGUGGGAGAAGAAAAAAAAAGUUUAGAGAAAAUAAUUAGAAGGUAAACUAAAUAUAAAUAUAAAUAAGGAUAAUAAUGUGAUGUUAAUUGUAAGACUUAUAAAAUUAGGUUAAAUAAUUUUUUUAACAAGCGAACUUCUGUGUAGAUUAUUUAAUAUGUGUUUGAUAUUUGAAGUUACACAAAAUUCAAAUAAACAUCCGAUUAAGAACUCGUGCAUUUGUGAACUAGGUUUAAAAUUAACAGAUGAAAAACAUUCAAUCCAUCUUAUAAAAUAAUUUAAAUUAUUAAAUGUUUUUUGUACAGAUUAGAUAAUUUUUUUAAUAUUCAUGUUAAUUACUUUUGACUGGAAAACGUUAGCAUUUAUCAUAAAAUUUAAUUGUUAUAUAAUUAUCCGCAAAAACGGCAUUUCCACAAACUACCAUUUUACCUAUGCAAUACACAUAAUAAAUAUUUGUUUUUUAUAACUUAAAAUAAUGAUAAAUUAGUAUUUUUAAAUAUAUUAAUUAAAUUUUAUGUUACGAUGAACAAAUUUAUUAUGAUAUAUUUUUUAAUUAUUGAUCAUUUCAAAUAAUUAAAAAUAAAAAUACCUAAAGAAAAAAAGUUUAAUGAAAUCUCCCAACCUAUUUAUAAUACAAGAUGCAGCGUUGGUAGUAAAAUUGUAGUAUAAUGUGUAAUUACCACUUAAUAAAAGCUAAUUAAAUAUCUCCAAUAUAGUGUAUGCCCCACGUGUUCGCUAUUGAAACGUUGUUCACUUUCCCUUUGUGACGGCGUGAGAAGCGAAAACAGAGAAAAGAAGAGAAAGGGUGGGAGGCACACGCACGAAAACAGAGUCGGAAUCUCCAGUAUUCAAUCGGAGACAACACCAACUCAGCCGAAAGAAGCAGAGUUCGCGGCGGAAAUGUGGCGGUGCAUCGCACGGGGACUUCGUGGAGCUGCUUCCACCACCAGAUCCACCUCCAAUCAUCCUCACGGAUCUUACCCUUCUAGAUUCUUCUCCGUAUGAGACUCUCUCUUUCUUACCGAUCUUACCAUUUCCGUUUAUUCUUUUAACCCGCGCACACUCAAUUACUUCGCCUGUUCUUUUACUUUAAUGUAUUUCCUUUCAUUUUGGCCUUCUGUAUCUCUUAAAUUGGAUCUUUUGCAUGCGGAUGGUGUUUCACGGAAGCUGAAUCCUUUUUGUGUGCUGUGCAGAGUGGGGUUAACAACUCGUACACUGUGGUGGAUCAUACUUAUGAUGCUGUUGUCGUAGGUGCUGGUGGCGCGGGAUUGAGAGCUGCUAUUGGACUUUCAGAACAUGGGUUCAAGACUGCUUGUAUCACCAAGCUCUUCCCCACUCGUUCACACACGGUUGCAGCUCAGGUAUGAGGGCUUUGCUAACACCUUUUUCGCUUGUUUAUUAGUUAUAUUGGUAUUGUGGCUAUUUGUUCUGCUUUGUGUUUUCGCUAUUGGGUCGUUUGACUGUUAUACUGUAGUGUAACUAGUAUCCAUGUGUAAAGGUUCUCCCAUUGAAGUUUAUUUAUGAAAAAAAAAUGAAUCUAUUGGCUGAUGAAUUAAACUACUUGAAAGUGACUCUAGCUUCCUUUGGUUGUGAUAUCAAUUUUAUGUAUGUCUCGUGAUGUAACUUGUAAGUGUCCCCUAACUACAGUAUUGGGUCACUUUGAUACUGUUACCGCUUCCCUUCUCCAUAAUUCAUUCUUCAUUUGCUUAAUUUCAUUUUCUAUUCAUUACAAUUUAAACUUGGCAAUAUAAUAUAUUGUUUAGUGCGUAUCAAUGAUGGAUGAUGAUUUAACCAUUCCUUUGCAAUUUGUGUGCUUUUAGAGAAUCAUUUUCAGAUUGUCCCCCUGGCACCUUGUUCUUGUGUGCUUGUACAGUUAGUUACAAAUCAUGACAUAACAAGUAUUGGGUGAUGCACCAAAGUAUAUUUUGUUGAAACUAUCAUAUCAACUCUCCCCCUCCCCUGAAUAUGCUGGCAACACUAAUUCGUGAGAAUAAAUAUAGGGUGGUAUAAAUGCUGCUUUGGGAAACAUGACUGAAGAUGACUGGAGGUGGCACAUGUAUGACACUGUCAAGGGAAGUGAUUGGCUAGGUAUAAACUAUCUCGAUCUUUGAAAUUUUACAUCUCCUGUGUGCCAAAAAAAAUUAUGAGUUCGUUGCCAUAAAAAUAUCCUUGCUUGUAGAAAUUCAUUUGCCUUAAAAUCAGUCUAACUCUAAUGAAUAAGAUGAUACCUGUGUCUGUUUCCCUAAAUGUGAAAACAAAAUCGUCAAUUUUCUAUCUAAUAGUAUGAUUUCCCUCUUGUUUCUUAAUUAAUGCAAGCUCUAUGGCCUACAGGUGAUCAGGAUGCCAUCCAGUAUAUGUGUAGGGAAGCACCAAAAGCAGUCAUCGAGCUUGAGAACUAUGGUUUACCAUUUUCCCGAACAGAGGAUGGAAAAAUAUACCAGCGUGCAUUUGGUGGUCAAAGCUUGAACUAUGGAAAAGGUAUUUCCAGAAUUUUGUGUAGAUUUUCAGCCCUUUUUUAGAAGAGAUUUGAUAUUGGUAUCCUUCUGUUUCUAUGAUACAGGUGGUCAAGCUUACCGAUGUGCAUGUGCUGCUGAUCGAACUGGGCAUGCUUUAUUGCACACUCUCUAUGGUCAAGCUAUGAGACAUAAUACCCAGUUUUUUGUGGAAUAUUUUGCAUUGGAUCUUUUAAUGAAUAAUGAUGGUAAGUUUUUGUAAAAUCAACUUUCUUUCACUUAAUAUCUGCAACCAAUUAUUCUAACAAGGGCUUAGCAUUCAUGGGCCUUGAUGAGCAAAUUUCCCAUGUACUUCACAUUACUUGUUUACUGACCGUAAUUUGUUAUCUAUUUUAAUUCUAAUUGUUUUAUCAAACUAGUAUGGUGGGGGAGAAUUUGUAUGUUUUGAUUGAUGAUAAAGUUAACUAAUUUCUAUGUUGGAUAUGUAGGCACUUGCCAGGGAGUAAUUGCCAUGAAUAUGGAGGAUGGAACACUGCAUCGUUUCCAAUCUGCUUCAACAAUUUUGGCUACAGGGGUAACAUAGCCUUCUUAUGUUGGACAGUAUAUAUUUUUUAUUUUAUUUCACUUAUGAAGGAUAGGUGAGAUCUUUUAUCAUGCUUCAGGGUUAUGGUAGAGCAUACUUUUCUGCAACCUCAGCACACACAUGUACCGGAGAUGGCAAUGCCAUGGUUGCACGUGCUGGUAUCCCUCUUGAGGUGUGUUUUUCUUUUUGGUUGCUUUUCCGUAUUAAUUUGAUGUCUUUUUGGGAUUAAUCUUUUCUCAUUCGCACGCAUUUCAUAAAUUCUGCAGGAUUUGGAGUUUGUACAAUUUCACCCAACGGGUAUAUACGGAGCUGGUUGCCUUAUAACAGAAGGUCUGCAGUUAAAGUUUUAUUUGCUACAUGUCAUGCCUUUGUUUUCACUUUACAAGCACCUUGUCCAAUGAAAUUGGAAUGCUGUGUUUUUUUCAUUUUCUGAUUUUAAUUUUUGGAUCUUUUAGGCUCUCGUGGUGAAGGUGGAAUUCUCAGGAACAGUGAGGGUGAGCGAUUUAUGGAACGAUAUGCCCCUACUGCAAAGGAUCUUGCAUCAAGAGAUGUAGUUUCAAGAUCAAUGACUAUGGAGAUUCGGGAAGGUCGUGGUGUAGGUACGUUGGCUUAUACUGAAAUAUCCAUGUCUUCAUAAAAAAGUUUAUAUUAACAUACAUGAAGUUUGAUUGCUAUUACUUUGUAGGCUUCAGGAAAAUGAGUGUUAAAGAUGUAUAACUUUUAGGUCAAAUUCUGACUUAUAUUUUAUUUUUAAUUCCUACAAAUGAAUGAAUCAUCUGAGUUGGAUGAAAAUCGUGUCCUCUCUAUUCAUUAUGUUGGAAAUUGGAAAAUAUUCAUUUAUAUUUGGACAAUUUGAUGUUUUUUUUUUUAAGUACGCUUGUAUUAACUUUUGGAAAUUAUUUUUAGGACCCCUGAAAGAUCACAUCUAUCUUCACUUGAAUCACUUACCCCCAGAUGUGCUCAAGGAGAGACUUCCUGGAAUCUCUGAAACUGCUGCUAUUUUUGCUGGUGUGGAUGUUACAAAGGAACCCAUUCCUGUUUUGCCAACUGUACAUUAUAACAUGGGCGGUAUUCCCACAAACCAUUAUGGAGAGGUAUAGUCAUGCAUGCCGUUUGAAAUGAGACUUCCAAUUGAAAGAUUAAGAAAAUAUACAAAGUUAUGAAAUAGAGAAGAAAAAUCUGGGAUAAUUGAUCAUGCUAUAAUUGUUGAAUUUAAAGGGAGGGGAAGAGAGAUGUUCUGCCAUAACCGAAGCACUGUACAAUCAGUCGAUUUCACUUGAGCAAUCCCGCCCCAUCUCCCUAAUCUCUUAGACUCUAAGUAGUCUCAGGGGACUAUUUCCCGGGCAUAGAGUAAAUGGGUGCUACGCCGUAAGACCUAAUUCCAGUGAAAAUGCAUUUAACGUGUGAAGAUUGAAUCCUUUUAACAUUCAAAACAUGAACUGCACCUCUUUCUAACAUUGUUUACUUCUAUUGAUUGUUUGAUAAAUUAGUGCUCUAUGCUUACUUUUCUCCAAUCCACAUUCUUUUGUCCUUCAUUCAGCUCUUCUCUUACACAAUAGUUUAAUAGAAGCUUGUGCAUCACAAGUAAUAUUUGUUUGCUUUUCGUUUUUGACAACAAAAAUAUUAACAUUGUCAUUUCAUUUUGAGCUGUAUCUAAUUAAUGCUAUUUGUGAUUCAGGUGGUUACCAUUAAAGGUGACAAUCCAGAUGCAGUGAUUCCUGGAUUGAUGGCUGCCGGGGAAACAGCCUGUGCAUCAGUCCAUGGUGCCAAUAGGCUUGGUGCAAAUUCACUUCUGGAUAUUGUUGUUUUUGGUAGAGCUUGUGCAAAUAGAGUUGCAGAAAUCCAUAGACCAGGCAAGAUUAUUUUCCUAUUUGGAAAUAGACCGUGUGCACUGAAAUUAGUAUUAUAAAAGUGUCUGUCAUCCAUUUUGCAGGAGAGAAACAAAAGCCUUUAGAGAAAGAUGCUGGUCAGAAAACAAUUGCAUGGCUGGACAAAUUGAGAAAUUCAAAUGGUUCAUUGCCAACUUCAAAAAUUCGGUUGAAUAUGCAAAGAGUGAUGCAAAGCAAUGCGGCUGUGUUCCGUACACAAGAAACAUUAGAAGAAGGUAAUCCACUUCUUGUUAUGCAUAUUUAUCCUCCUGUCAAAUCCUUUCCCCCCUAACAAGGUGUGUUUAAUUCUUGCUAAUUCCUCAACUAUCUCCUUAUUCUGAACUUAUCUGCUGCGUUGCAGGUUGUCAAUUAAUUGAUAAAACGUGGGAGAGCUUCCAAGAUGUUAAGGUCAAGGACCGCAGUCUAAUAUGGUAAUUCCAUUUUAGCAAAUGAUGAAUAGUCCUAAUAUUUCAUGGAUGUUCAUUUUCUAAGUUUAUUGGCUAUAUAUUCACAGGAACUCCGACUUGAUUGAGACUAUUGAGUUGGAAAAUCUUUUGAUAAAUGCUUGCAUCACAAUGUACUCUGCUGAAGCUAGGAAAGAGAGUAGAGGAGCUCAUGCCCGUGAAGACUUCAAGGUCAGUUUUCUAUCACUCAUGCAAAUUUCAUACCAUCAACAUGAAUAGUGCACUUAACUAUAUAAUGUUGGAUUCUGCAGGUUAGAGAUGAUGAGAAAUGGAUGAAACACACUGUGGGGUAAGUCAUGUUUCAUACAGUUUAUUUGGUUUUCUAUUUACAAAAGCAGAAACUUGAGUAGUAAAGUUGGAGUUGAUUUUGUUUAUUUCCAUCGGGAACCUUGAUCCUUUUAGGUAAUUUGAAUUGAUGGAAAGGAAUGGGAGUGGGUAUGAAAUGGAAGUGUAAUAUUUGUUCCUAUGCUUCGUUUGUAGAGAUAGGAAUGAAAUGACCACUCUUCCAUUUCUAUUUUGUUUUUCAUUGGUGUGAUUUAACCAGAGUAGGUGCUAAAUGCCUAAAAACACAAAUUUGAGACUGAUCAAGUGGAUCAAAUGGGUUGUGCUAUAUUUUGUUGGUGAAAUUGAAUCAUCAUUCCGUCAUUUUUAUGUAAUAACUAUUCUUAAAACUGUAAGAACUCCCUUAGAAGCUUGGUGCAAGUUGCAACUGCAAUCGUGCAGCUAAAAAUGGUAAUGGGGUAGAUCUAUUAAAGUGGUCCUCAACCGAGCAUGUUCUUUCUGUCUUUGAACCUUUUGUUUCGUAAGAACUGGAGUGCUCUCAACUCUCGUACAUCGUUGGACCAUCCAAGUCACUCAUUAAGUUAACAAACUUGUGACUGGGAUGAUAUUGUCAUUAUCUCGUGUUUGUAUUCCCUCGAAUUCACCCUUGGCUCCUUGCUUGAAGUUCUUCAGUAACAUUGUAGUUUUUAUCAGUGCGGUCUUAGUAAUCACCCUUAAAUUUUCAAGUGGUGAGAUGAAACCCGAAUUGAUCAUGCUCCAUUUUUGGUUGGCAAAUUAACUGCUAUUGUCUCUGAUAGUGAUGUUUUACUCAAUUACAGUUAAUUUAGAGAAGUAAGAAUUUGGUAUUUUGCAACGGAUUAGAGAAGGUGGAAAUCUUAGGGCAAUCAUUUGGUGUGAGGGAGAUAUUUUGGUUAUAUUACUGAAUCCUAAUUCUGACCAUAAGCAUGAUAUUUGUCAAGAAACCAACUAUUUUAAGUUAAGAAUGGAGGUCUGAGAUGAUCAACACCCUAUCAUGUCCUUUCAAGUAAGAGCUAUGUCAGGUUGAAAUACAGAUCAAAAGGAUCAAUAUUUUCACCAUGACCAUCAAGGGUUGAUUAAUCGAUUCAAUAUCAAUUAACCAGCUAUUCUAAAAGAUUAAAUGGGUGGAGUCGGCUAACGUGGUGCUGCUUUUGAUUAAGUUGUACUAUUUAUAAUUAUUCAAUUGAGGAGUAAACACUUGUGUCAUUAAAUUUCAUGUUAGCUAAAUGUGCAUUUAUUUGCAGAUACUGGGAGAACGAGAAGGUCCGGUUGGACUACAGGCCAGUGCAUUUGAAUACAUUGGAUGAUGAGGUUGAAUCAUUCCCUCCCAAGGCUCGUGUCUAUUAAUACCUUGCUAUCUGUCGUCUCAAUAUUAAAUGACAGAAAAAAAAUGCAAUAAAUGUUAUUUUUGAUGAUAAUUGUUGCAUUCAUCAUCAAUGUUGAUUCAUAUUCCUGGCAUUCUCAAAUAACACUGUAUUUGCAGCAAAGAAUAAUAGCAAUACAAUUCUAUUUAACUGCUUGUAUUUUUUACAAGUUUUUGCGAAUUUACUAUAUACCAAAUUCGCGUCUCCACGUUUAUAAUUUUCUAAGUUUCGUGUUUAUUCAUAAUUUUCUAAUUUUGGUGUUUAUGCAUACUUUUCCAAGUUUCGUGUUUAUUCAAAGCUUGUUUAUCCAAAACACCGCUGGAUAGAAAAGGACUUUUAAGUUCAUUCGAACAUGUUGGCAGUCUCCUAUUUGUUACAGCUGUUAUGCACAACUGUUCUGAGCCCAAAAAAGUUGCUUCUCCUCAAGUUGUUUGAAUCAAUUUGGAGCCAUAUCCGUGAACCAAAAAUUCUGAGGCGUAUAAUCACAUUUAGACUUUCUUCCUUCACACCCAUACAAAAUGUAAAAAAUAUCUUUUUAUCUUUUCUUUGUGCCACCUUAUACAGUAGUUUUGAAAAAGGUGCAGGAAGAACAGUCUUCUCUGGGUUCAUUAAUGUAGUACACAGAAAUUGAAGAAAUCGUGUAAAGUUCAAGUCAAAUAUUUGUAAUUUUCAAUGUAAACGGAAAAAAAGAAGAAGCAAGAGUACUUUUAAACUCUUCAAUCUAACAUUUAAAUAUGCAGUGAGAUGGAGAUAAGGAGCGUUGGUAACGCUGGAUGUCUCUGUUCUUAUGACAUUUAGAUAAAAUAUGAUCAAACUCCGUUCCAGAAAGAACGACCAAAUGAAAAAGAGUAGACUUGUGACUAUAGAUUACUGGGGGCAAAUUUGAUAUAGUCUCAUACAUCUCUCUCUACAUAUAUUAUACACCUUACGUAUAUUACCUCCAUUAUUAAAUCCAAUAAAUUAUUAAUUUUUUUUCUCUCAUUUUAUUGAGUAAUUUUAAAUUUUUCAUCAAUUUUCUUCUUCCUUUCCAAAUAAAAACAGUCACUCUCAAUCUUUCACUUGCCCCCUCUAAUUCACUCAAUUAAUGGAACGAAGAAAACAUAAUUUUAAAAUAUUAAAACUAAAAUUAUAUUUUUUAAAUAUUAAAACUAAUCCAAUCUUAUUAUAAAAGAACACAAAUUUAAGACAAUUAUAUAUAUAUAUAUAAGAUAUCAAAUACAUUAUGUUAUGAAUUUUAACAACUGUAAAAUCAUAUAACAACUGUAAAUUUUAACUUCAUAAUAUCAUUAAUUAUCCAUAUCAAAUUUAUUAAAAAUAAUUAAAUAACUUUUUAUUAAAAUAAUUAAACAGCUUUCAUAUAUUUUAAAAUAUAUAUUACACCCAUUUUAAUUGAGAUAUUAAAUAAUUUUAAGACAAUCUAUAUGAGAAUUUUUUUAAAAGUCUCUCUCUUUAACUAACACACACAUAUAACUUCACUCAAACGUCAUCUUAUAGUAUAUUAAUCUCAAGAUAAUCCUUGAAUUGAUCAAAAUUUAAAUUUAUAAUCACACUGAAUUUCAGAUUUAAUUAAUUUCUUUAAUUCUUGAGAUAUAUCAAUGCUCCCAUGCGUGCACCACAAAGAUAACAACAAUGUGUAAUGCAGUACAUAAUACAAUAGUCUAUUUUUUUUCCAAGUUAAAAUCCAAAAAGAGCAGAAAAAAAUAAAAAUCAACAACAACGUUAUCAUAACAUGUUACAAGGAUUGCAGAUAAACAAAAACAUGUUACAAGGAUAAACACCUCUCCUCAGGGAUAACCUAAUUAAGCGUUGGCACUGGACUGAUGCCUCGCUUUUUCCUUCUCCUUCACCUCACUUCCCUGCGUCUUGUCAUAAGCUUCAUGCACGUACAUACCAAACAAAAGAAGCCAAUAAUUAAGAAUAACAAACACAAUAAGCAAUUUUAUAUACACGUUGUGUGUGAUAAGGAAAUUAAACCUGGGUGAUUUUCAUGUAUGAUCUUAUCCUUCUCAGUAUUAGGCAUGGAUUGCUUUCCACCAUAAAUUCCACCGAACCCUUCUUCAUCAGACCUCGUAGCGUACCCUUCCCCAAACGAAUGAGACAUCGCAUCUCUUCACAACAUUCAUCAGAAUCAAGAAUUAAUCCAAUGAUUAUCUUUCACAUGGUUACUUUAAAGAUCAUUAGUUAUUAUAAAAUGUGACCCUUUAUCAGAUUACUAUAAAUGUGUUAUAGAAUCAAACAUGGUUAUGAAUGAAAUUGAGACAUGCUGUUUGAACUCACCCAUGUUUAGUUUCCUCGCUAGGUUUAUGACUCUUGUCCAUCUUAUGAGCACCACUGUUACUAUCAGGUUUGGUGCAGAAUCUAACUGCUGAAGCUUCCCGACAAAGCUUGGAAGAGAGAGAGCGUGAGAGUGAAACGUGUUGAUAGGUUAAAACCGUUUUGAUCGAGUGAAGCAUAGCUUUUUCUAUUUUGAUGGGUUGUGGAAGAGAGACAGUGUGGUAGUCCUAUGAUUUCGAACAAUGCAAAUCCUAUUAAUCCUCCGGUGCACUUGUUCUGGUUCAGAGAAACUAAAACAUGAAGCACUUUCAUGACAUGACAUGUGGUGUGUGUUGGACGCUUGUCUUUCACACAAACCCUCACGUGUCACGUUUAUCCUUUUGCAUGCAAAGAAUAUUUCAGUUCAGCUUUGAUUUGAAGACCUGUGUCGUGUAACAACUGAACAAAACGCCACGUCCACCUGUGUGAAGGAUAUAUAAUAUUCUAUUCUAAAUUGCUCUUUCUUUCUUUGUUGCAAAGAGUUCAAAUUCAUCCCUUCAUGUAUUUGUUUGCAAUUAUAGAAUAAGAUAUCGAUGGUUCACCUUGACUGGACCAAGACAUGUUGCAGAUGACCUGAUUCUGAGUUCGCUUUUAUCUUCUCAGACAAGAUAUUAAAGAAUUUAGUUAGAAGAGUUGGGUAAAAUGUUAAAAAGAAAAGAAAAAUGGAAACUUCCACCAAUAUACCUAGAUAGAUAAAUUUUAAUACCAAUACCUAGAUAAAUAAAUUUUAAUACCUCGGAUUUACUUAUUGAAAAAAAAAUUGUUUAAUAUUUUUAAAUAUUUUAUAAUAUAUAAGUGGAUGUAAAUUUUAUUUUUUAUAAUUUAUUUUUAUAAGAUUAAAUUUAAUUUAAAUUUUAAUAUAAUACUAUCAAGAAAAUCAUGAAAUAAAAAUUAAUUUUUAGAGACAAUAAUUAGUUGCAAUAGUAACUAAAUUAUAUACUAUUUUAGAAACUAAAAAAAAAUUGGUUUCUAAAUUAGCUUCUAUUGUUGUUAAAUAGUUUCUAAAUUGGUAUCUAAUUAGCAAUGAAUGUUUUUCUACCAAACCUAGAAACUAAAUAAUUGAUUUCUAAUUAGAUAUCAAUUUAUAAACUUUUUAACAGUUAUAUAAAUUAAUUUAAAAACUAUUUUUAUAUGUUAUUAAAUCAUCUAUAAUAUACAUUGAUUUUUUUUAGUGUAUAGUUAUUUAUUUUUAAAAAAUUAUUAAAUUUAUUAAUUUAUAUAUUAUUAGAUCAUUUAUAAUAUAUAUUUUUAUGAUAAGUUAAAGAUAUUUGAUAGUAUAUACCUAGAUUAAAUCUUAAUAUAAUCCAAUUUUAUAAAAUUAAAUUAGAUUUAAUAUUUGCAUUUUAGUAAUAAUUUAACAUUCAAAUUCGUAUUUUAAAUAAAUUAUCUUGUUUAAAUGAUGCUUUGAAAACUAAUUAAUGCGCAUAUACGUUUAUUUUAAUAAAAUCAAGUAUGUUCUUAUUUUUUUCUUAUAUAUUUUAUUAAAAAGUUAUAAACUUUACUUCUAUUUGAAUGAAGAAAUAUAGUACUGCAAAAAAAGGAAAGGACUAAAAUCUCCAAAAUCUCCAAGAUUUAAGGAAAUUAGGACCUUUGAAAACCUUGAAAAUGUUGCAUAGGAACGAAUAUGGCACAAAGGGCCACUGAGGGUUAAAGACCCUACACCCUACACGGGUUGUCGGAAACCUAUGGAAUAAAAUAUAUUUCUCUUUAUAUAGAAUAAUACCUAAUGAUCCAUUUAUAAUUUGAAUUUUAUUUUGUCUUUAAAAAUGUUUAAAUGGAUUGUGAGAAAAAGGUGUGUAUAUAUAUAAUUUUUUAUUUUGAUUUCUAACUAUGUGGGACUUUUAAAUGUAUUAAAAGACUUAUAACACUUCCACACUUAUGUUUUGUGAGUGACAACUCUAAUAGUUCAACCGUAAUUCAUGUUAUUGUUUUUCAUUUAUUAACUAGGAUGAACAUACUAAACAAAAGUAAAAACAAUGUCUGAGCAUGACACUUAAUGAAGGAGGUGAAUAUGACUUUAACAAAAUGAAAAUAAAUAACUUAUUAAUGAAAUUAGAUUUUAGAAAAAUAUUAUUACUUUUUUUAAAAUAUUCAUAUAUUUCAAGGUCAACAUUAAUUUUCUCCAAACAAAGUAAUAUAAAACAUUUUCUAAUAUUUUAUUAAUUUACUCUUUUGAUUAUUUUUAUAUUAUCAAAUUCCUACAUCAUUUAGGUAUUGAUGUGAAAGACUACUUACAUAUACAUUCACCCCUUAACUCACUCAAACACUUUUUUUUAGAAAACAAAAAUAUUUGUAUGUAACUACCAAACUUAUAGUUUAUGUAACUAACACACCUCUCAUCUUACUCACUUUUAUGCUAGAUACGAAUAAUUCAGCUUCUGUAUGUAUUGUUGUUACAUUAAAGUACAUAUAUCAAUUUAAACCUCAAUCAAUGUGUGCAUUUACACUAAUGGGUGAACGGGAAAAAUAAUUGGACGGUAGCAUAUUUAUAACAUUCUUUCAACUUAAUAGUCUUUGACAUAAAAAUAUGAAUUGAUUUUAACAUCUUAAUUAAAUUAAAUAAACUUGGAUGUAAGUAUUUUAAAUUAACUAAUAUAUGAUUAAACUUGUCGAUCACUCCACAAUAUUAUUUCAACUUCAAUUACCUAAAUAAAUUAUAAAUAUAAAAAAAUUACUUAAAUACUUAACUUCACAUCCAAAAAAAUUACAUUUGUCUUAGUUAACUAAGAAAAUAUAACAUUUUUUUCAUAUUGGUUCACCUAAAUCUGAGCUACAUCCAGUCUCCUUAAUCCAACGACUUAGGAACCGUCUAGCCAUACCGUAUAAUCAACUCAAGAUAGAAUAAAAAACAAAGCAAAGCUAUUAGAAGGAACAACAAGAAAUUAUCCUGAUUCACCCAAACUCGGAUUAUAUCUAGUGCUCUUAAGACAAUCAUUUAAGAGCUUCAUUAACUAACACACUUUGUUAUAACGAGUAUUUUCACUUCUCCAUAUUACAAUGAAUAUUCACAUUUCUUUAGGUUACAACGAGUAUUAACACAUCUAUGAGUUAUAUCUUCUUAACCCUGAUAUUAAGAACUUUCAAGAAAAUAAAUAUCAUUCUAAAAAAAAGUACAAAGAAAACUCACAACGGUACAAUUUCACAAUGUGAAAAAUUACAAUAAUUUAACACUCAAUCCAAAAUACAAUACUAUCUACUAAAUUAGAGGUUCACUCUAACUCUUAUAUUUUAUGCUUGCAAGAUAACUUCUGUAGCUUUUGUUGCUUUCCUUACCUUUGUUCUUCACCUUCACUCCCUUUAUAUAACUUUCAAAUCUUCAUAUAUGUAUGAAUAAUUAAAUUUCAUCAUCAUUUUAAUAUAUAUAUAUAUAUAUAUAUAUAUAAAUAUUUAAUUUUAAUAUUACAAUACAUGUUUUUUUAUUUGUUUUUCAAUCAUAACAUAAUCAUUCAUUUUUCAAGUGGAAUUUAAACAUAUUUUUUUUUAAAAGUACAAAACAUAUUAAUAAUAUUUAAUAUAAACAUUUUUUAUAAUUUGUUCUCACUCAGAUCAAUCCAAUCUACUAAGUUUUCAUUAAAAUUUACUUACUUAAGUUCAAUCUAAUAAUAUUGUUUUUUCACUCUCUACCCUCAUCUAUUUCCCUUUUCAAAUCCAAUCCAAACACAAUAUUAGAUUUUUUUUUUAUAAAACAUGCACGAGGAUUUAGUAAUAUAAUAAAAUGUGACAUUUAUUUACACUUAAUAAGAUGGAAAAUUUUCAAUGAAAAUCCCAUCGUCUCAAGUAUAUCAGUGUGCAUGUUUUGGAAACUAGAGAGUUUUUAAAUAGUUUAUUUACUUAUAUCAUUGGGCACAUUGAAUAGGCUUUGGAAAAUCCUUUACAAUAUAGAGAUUAUUAUGUUUAAGGUUUUUCUUGUUCUUUACACAUCUACCACGAGCAUGAUAUCAAAUUUAUAUAAUGCUUGCAAAUACAUUAGUUUUACAAAUUCAGUAAUACACAAUUUAUGAAGUAAAUUAGUUUAAAUUUGUUUCAAAUCUUUACGGUCUUUAAAAAUAAUUAUUUGUUUUAAAUGCCCAAUCUUUUAUAUUUUUAGAACUAUUAGUUAUUAUUCAAAUAUAAUAUAAGAAAAUCAUUGUUUUUCCUAAUUUUCCACAAAUUAAAACUAAUAUAAAAUAAUUAUAAUUAAUUUAACGAGAACAUGUAAAAUAUCAAUGAAAAAAUCUUAACUUUUUAAAGUGCAUAAUCUAAUUUAAUUAAACAUUUAAUAUUUUUAUAAAAAUAAUCACAUACAACUUAUUUUUAUUGGAUUUAAAUAAAUUUCACGUGAUUACUUUUAUACAUUUUAUAUAAAUUUUCACAAUUAAUCUAGUUGACUUUUAUAUUUAUCUUUUGAUUUAUUAGUUUAUUUUUCAUUAUGAUAAGGAAUAAGUUUUCUUUCAUUAUAUAUAUAUAUAUUAAUAUUUUUGUCAAUAUAAAUAAUAAAAAGGCUUAAUACAUAUUAUUACUCAAUAUUCUAAAUUGUUUCAACUUAACUGAUAAAACUAACAUCAAUAAUAGCACACAUUCAAACUAAAAUAUUGAAUUUAUUACGUAUUGAUUAUGAAAAAAAUAUUUAUUAAACACUCAAAAUUAAAUUAAAUUGUAUUCCCUCCAUUUCUUUCAAAUUUUCUUUAAGGCUAUUUAAAAAUAAAAACCAAAUUUUUUUGGUGACUUUAAUAAAAUAUUUAUAAUUUCUAUUUCAUAUUACGUGCAUAUAUAUAUAUAUAAACUAACUAAAAAUACACCAAUGAUAAGAAUAUAAAUAAUAAAAUAAUAAUUAAUGUUGAUUUAAAAAUUUAAACUAAAAUUUUUAAAAAAUAUUUUCGAAAGAUAAUAUUUAAAAUAAAAUAAAAUAAAAAAGCUAAAAACUUAUUUAAGUUUAAUUCUUAGACAAAUAAAAACAUUGUUGACCAGGUCAGUCAACAAAAUAGCAUUUAUUAUUUAAUUUAUUUAGGAACGUAGGAAUAACGCAAUCUGAUGAGACGUAAGGACCACGCGAACUUGGAAAGUUGGAAGCCAGCGCGUGGUUGCCGUCCAUGUGGAUUAAACACCAAACCGCCAUCAUUCUAGUCUCAUUUACCAAAAUACCCCUCUAUUAUUGUAAAGAGACAGAUAACAAACAGCUUUGCCCCACCGAUAAAUGAGCCGCACCUAACAUUACACGUCACUGAAUCCUCACCGUCAAUACAAACAAUCUCAACCGUCGGAUCCCUAAAAUCCCAUUAUAAAAGAAAGCUUAGGGUUCUCUUCCUUCUCUCAUUCAGCGCCUCCUCUUCUCUGCCUUAUCUUCAACAACUUUUCUGCCAUACCUCUUCUCUGUAAAUUCAGAUCUAUUAUUUCCUUUUCCUCUGAAGCUUCUUUCGUGACUGGAUCUGAAUGGAUCUGAUCGAGAUCUACACGCCCGUGGUGGUUUUGGCCUGGUACGGUCACCCUUACGUCGGGAUUUUGCUGCGAUUAGGUUCGGUCUUAUGUUAUUAGCGUCUUGAUUUUGUUAUUUUCAAUUUAUAUUGUCGGCCUUUCAUAGAUCCGAUGCCUGGAGGCUUAGAUCUACGUAUAGAGGUGUGCGCAUCGUGUCCAUCUUCCUUGCUUCGUAGAAAGUUCUUUGGUCUUUGUAUAUGCCAAGCCUCUUGAGGUGUUUUUUGCAGGUGUGUGAGAGAAUCCACGGGAAGAAAGCUGAUCCAACUAUAGAACGAUGGAUCCGUCAGUUGAUGCUCUUUUGACCGUUGUGGAUGGAUGUUUGUGUCGGAUAAUUUGGAUUAUUCCAGAAGCGGUGUUGCUUUCUAGGGCUCCAUGUGUUGCUGAUCUCAGAUGUAAAAUUUUGUAUGAUGUGAAGCUUUGAGGUGGAAAAUAUGUGGAUGUAGGAGAUAUCGGGAUGAAUGACCUUUAAACGCUGAGUCGUUUAGGGUCGAGAAUCCUGAGUGAUCUUGUCAUCCGACCUUUGCCAUGUCAGGUGCGCUUGCUUGGCAGGUCAAAUAAUUGUUAAUAAAAAAAAGUUUUGUUGGUUUUGGGAGAGAUGGCACGGGAGUUGCCCGGGGUCUCUCCCUCGUGUGGUGUGUGCUCUGCUCUCUUUCGUUAUGCCUUUUAUUAUUACCUUUCUGUCGCUCCACUCCGUUAUACAUCUCUGCACCAGAGGGAUUCAACAGAGGAUUCGCUCCAACUAUAAGGUAUUAUCCAUUAAUUUACGCUCGAAAGGGUUUAGGUGUUUCAUUUCACAUAAUUGAAGAUAAAACAACAACCUCAUAUUUGUUUUUUAAAAUAACAGAAUCGAUUUGCAGCAGAACUAAGAAUUUGUCUCAUUUUCCGAUUAAUUUGAUUUAAUAUUUGAUUUAAGAAGUUGGUAAUGUGAAGAAUAUCAAUCUGAACUUUUUGGUAAUCUUAUAGGCAGAAGAAGCUAGGUGGAGUUCAUCAGUAGUUUCAUUCUUUAAAGGUAAAAUCGGGAACUGGUUUUUAGUGGUAUUUUAAUUAUGAAUUACUUAUUCAGUUAGUCAUUAAGCUAGUUUUUUAUGAAACAAUACGAUAAUACUCAGAAACUACUAUUAUCGAUCCAUGGCAUAAUAAUCAAAUUCCUCCUUUUUACAUGUGUCUUGUCUAAUAAUAUUUUGCCUGAAUAAAAUAUCGAAUCAAUACUUUUUACAUGUGGCAAAAUAAUUAGUUUUAUUCUUUAUUGAAAUAUCGUUCCAUGGCAACCAAUAAGUUUUCUUGCUUAAUUAAAAUAGCGAUCCAUGGUAUAAUAAUCUGUUAUCGUUGUGUUUAUGUUUAUCAUAUUUUGUAUUUCACUUGAGGUUGAUACAUCCGGUGACGUCUCCUUAUAAAGAUUGAUCACUGUAUUGCCGGUUUUGUACCAUAUACUUGUAAAUUUGAUUACCUGUAAUUAGUUCAGCUACGGCAGGCAACGUUUGUAAUGCAGAAAUAGGUUAUUUUUCAAAAGCGUAUAAUGUCAGGAUUGCAGCAUUGUUAUGCUUUGCCAAUGGGAUCUUAUGUCGACAUUGAAGUAUCAACAAUUAUUAGAAGAUGGGCUUCUGCCGGGGCCGGGCAUUACACAUGAGAGAAGAAGGCCUCUGUGAUGAAGUAUCGUGUGGAUUGUGGAGGACUCUGAUUUAGGCUUCUAUUUCUAAGGUGAAGAAAAUUUCGGCUCUAUACACGCAAAGUAUAUUUUUCUUCCAAGUUAAUUCAGUUUGCAUUUGUUUAAAUUGAGUAACGAUGUUUUUACUGAAUCCCCUCAUUCAUUUACCUUAAAUUCAAUGUCAUUAUCAGAUGUUCAUUUAUAGUCAGUUAUGGUUGGAUCAGUUUGUUAUAUAUAUUUGGUAAUUCAUGUUUUGAGCAUAAGGAACUGCUCAGAAUUUCAAGUUUACGAAAGUUAUUUGAAUACGAAUAAUUGUACGGGUUUUCUGUUGAUAAUAUUGUUCAUUAGUAUGUAUUCAUAAUGUUCUCUUUGUAGAUAAAAGUUAUUCUGAUGUUGCGUUGCACUUGGUUUGUUAUUAUGUGAUAGUGGUUGUAUUUUGAGCUUAUAUGCCUUUAACCUCGAAGAUCAAAGUCAGCAAUGGCCAUUGAACUUUUAGUUUCUGCCUCUCAUCUUUAUUAACUAUUUAGUUUAUGUCAAAAUAGUUUAUCAAAAUUUUUGUACUCUUUUUUUCUGGGGAACUAUUGUUAUUUAUGCAGGUUUUAUUUUGAAUCCUAUUAUUUUUAUUAUUUUAUAGCUUGUUAUGUAGUGGGAUGAAUUUUUGUCCCAGUUACGAUCGUAGCAUUAUUUUUUUUUUUCUUUAUAAUAUAUUAUUAUCAUGAUUUAGUAGUAGAAACAAAUAUGUCGACCUCUAUAAAGGAUAUAAAGGAUAUCGACCUGUUAAUAAAUCAUAUUUAAUACAUUUAAAGAACUGGAACAAUGAAAUGAUAAACUACAUUUGCUGCUUAAAGGCAAGCAGUCACACCCUUAGAUUUGCAUAUGGUUAAAGUAGUUUUUAUUAUUUUAAUUAAUAAUGCAGUUUUAAGGAAAUGUAAAGGAUAAAAUUAGUAUGAAAAGUGGAGAAAUUUCUUUGAAAUAUGUAUUAAAAAGGUAGAAUUUUUUCAGUAGAUAAGUGUGGAAUUUUUUUUGAAAUAUGUAUUAAAAAGGUAGAAUUUUCUCACUAGAUAAGAUGCUUUUUAUAAUCCGUGAAAGCAUUUGAGUAAACCUGUUUCAAGGCAUUCUGAAAAUAAUGAAAAUUAUUUUUGGUUGUUGUGCAUGUUGUUCUUCAUCGUAAAUAUGGUGUUUUUUUUAUCACUAGUAUAGUUAGUUUAUUGAAUGAUAGAUCUGUAAGCUCAAAACGGAAGAGCGAUCAGAGCAUAUCAGUUAUGUUCUGGUAGGAUGGUGGUUCGAAUCCACCCUGAUCUGCAUAUUCUGUAUUG
rnacentral:lncRNA from 1 species